GACUCCUCGGCAACGGGCGCCGCCGCCUCGCGGUGCCCCCAGCGCUCCUGGGAGCUCUCCGCGCUCUCCAGGGACUCGGCGGAGCGCAGGGUCAUGGGCGGCGGCGGCGGCGGGCGCGGCCCCGCUCGCACGCAGAGACCAUUGAGAUAACAAAGGAUCAUUUCCUUUGGUUCAGUGGAUAGGUAAAUAACCAGCGACAAGCAUGGAACUGACCAGAAAAAGGUGGCAUUUAAGUCCAGCUCUCACCUCAUCAUGUGCUGCCUACUGUUUAAAACUAAAGGCCUCAACUGCAAUAGAAGCAGGCGUGGCAGGAGGGAGCGUGAGCUUUCCAGUGGAACACAUGACAGCAGGGACCUGCUCCAGG